GCCUGGCAUAGUGGUUUGAAUGUUGGAUUAGGACUCUGGAGACCAGGGUUCAAUUCCCUGUUCAGCCA
rnacentral:tRNA from 1 species